GACGAACGCUGGCGGCGUGCUUAACACAUGCAAGUCGAACGGAAAGGCCCUGCUUUUGUGGGGUGCUCGAGUGGCGAACGGGUGAGUAACGCGUGAGUAACCUGCCCUUGACUUUGGGAUAACUUCAGGAAACUGGGGCUAAUACCGGAUAGGAGCUCCUGCUGCAUGGUGGGGGUUGGAAAGUUUCGGCGGUUGGGGAUGGACUCGCGGCUUAUCAGCUUGUUGGUGGGGUAGUGGCUUACCAAGGCUUUGACGGGUAGCCGGCCUGAGAGGGUGACCGGCCACAUUGGGACUGAGAUACGGCCCAGACUCCUACGGGAGGCAGCAGUGGGGAAUAUUGCACAAUGGGCGGAAGCCUGAUGCAGCAACGCCGCGUGCGGGAUGACGGCCUUCGGGUUGUAAACCGCUUUCGCCUGCGACGAAGCGUGAGUGACGGUAAUGGGUAAAGAAGCACCGGCUAACUACGUG
rnacentral:rRNA from 1 species